AGUGAACGCUGGCGGUAGGCCUAACACAUGCAAGUCGAACGGCAGCACAGUAAGAGCUUGCUCUUACGGGUGGCGAGUGGCGGACGGGUGAGGAAUACAUCGGAAUCUACUUUUUCGUGGGGGAUAACGUAGGGAAACUUACGCUAAUACCGCAUACGACCUACGGGUGAAAGCAGGGGAUCUUCGGACCUUGCGCGAUUGAAUGAGCCGAUGUCGGAUUAGCUAGUUGGCGGGGUAAAGGCCCACCAAGGCGACGAUCCGUAGCUGGUCUGAGAGGAUGAUCAGCCACACUGGAACUGGGACACGGUCCAGACUCCUACGGGAGGCAGCAGUGGGGAAUAUUGGACAAUGGGCGCAAGCCUGAUCCAGCCAUACCGCGUGGGUGAAGAAGGCCUGCGGGUUGUAAAGCCCUUUUGUUGGGAAGGAAAGCAGCAGGUUAAUACCCCGCUGUUCUGACGGUACCCAAAGAAUAAGCACCGGCUAACUUCGUG
rnacentral:rRNA from 1 species